UCAAUCUUUCUCGCCAAAAGGUCUGACAGCUCCCUGCCCUAAGAACACAUUUAAACCACCUAACACUCCCUUAGAUCAUAUGUGGCCAGGAAGAGGACGACCUCUCUGUGGGCUGCAGGAUGAGUUUUCAAUUUAGAAAGAAAGGACAUUUCUGGCACAGAAAGAAAGAAGAGAGGACUUGACUGGGUGGAUGGUAGAGAAACGAAAACGGAGCAGCUUCUUUUUUUUUUUCUUUUUUUUUUUCUUUUUUUUUUGCAUAGGAUCAAUUGUUUGCUGAGGCAGACGAGAAGAGGGUGUCUGGGUGAGCCGUGGACGUGAACUGGAGUGGCACGUUUCCCGUCUGUUCUGGAACAACGAGAGACAUCUGGAAGGCAAGGGGGCGAAACCUAAUGCGUUGUUUUAAAGGGGCUAUAUUUCAUUCAGUAUUUCCCAGCACAUAUUCUGUUUUCAGACAGAUACCGUGAUAUUAAAUGUAUUAAAAAAUAGAAAUUUUUAGUAGCUGGAAAAUUACAGCGUGUCCAUGUGCUUUUGUUUUUGCUUUUAUUUUAUUAUUUGUUUGUUUUUAAGCGUGAAAAAUAUAUUUAAUAAUUAUAAUAAUGGUAUAAUCAUGCG